CUCCCCUGUGAGCUCCGGGCCUGUUUACCCGCUAAAGUAGAGUCUUAGGGUGAACCCAGAGGGACGUAAUGUUUCCGAGAAGAAGGGCAGAAAGAAGACUGGGAGACACCGGAACUCGAAAGAAAAUCGGUAACAAAAUGUGGUACUGCCUUUUAAGGUCUAUUACCUAAACAUAAAUAUGGCUCUGGUUCUUAUGGCCUUUACUGUAUCCUUCAUGAGAAGUUGAUACUGAUCCGAAAUUGACACAGAGCCUUCUCACCUACACCAAGGGAGUCUAGCAUACAGAACGGCUGUACCUGGAAGAAGGAAGUGCGGAGCCAGCCUGAGUUGGGAGUAGAGCUCCAGAGAGUGUGAAUGACAGAGGUGGUGCCAUCCAGCGCGCUCAGCGAGGUCAGCCUGCGCCUCCUCUGCCACGAUGACAUAGACACUGUGAAGCACCUGUGUGGCGACUGGUUCCCCAUCGAGUACCCAGACUCAUGGUAUCGUGAUAUCACAUCCAACAAGAAGUUCUUUUCCCUUGCUGCGACCUACAGAGGUGCCAUUGUGGGAAUGAUAGUAGCUGAAAUUAAAAACAGGACCAAAAUACAUAAAGAGGAUGGAGAUAUUCUAGCGUCCAGCUUCUCUGUUGACACACAAGUCGCGUACAUCCUCAGUCUGGGCGUCGUAAAAGAGUUCAGGAAGCACGGCAUAGGUUCCCUCUUACUUGAAAGUUUAAAGGAUCACAUAUCAACCACCGCCCAGGACCACUGCAAAGCCAUUUACCUUCAUGUCCUCACCACCAACAACACAGCAAUAAGCUUCUACGAAAACAGAGACUUCAAGCAGCACCACUAUCUCCCCUAUUACUACUCCAUCCGAGGGGUCCUCAAAGAUGGCUUCACCUAUGUCCUCUACAUCAAUGGCGGCCACCCUCCCUGGACGAUUUUGGACUACAUCCAGCACCUGGGCUCCGCACUAGCCAGCCUGAGCCCCUGCUCCAUCCCGCACAGAGUCUACCGCCAGGCCCAUAGCCUGCUCUGCAGCUUCCUGCCAUGGUCGGGCAUCUCUUCCAAGAGUGGCAUCGAGUACAGCCGGACCAUGUGAUGUCGGCUGGGCAGCCGCUGCCAGGCCCCACCCUUUGGACCCCUGCAGAGCCCGCCUUUCUGUCCAUCUGACCCCUGCUAUCUUCUGCAAGGAGCUGCCAGCCAUCUACUGGGCUCAUCGGCCUGCCCCAGCUGCAGGCCCGGUGCUACACGGGCUCGGGAACAGAACAUCGUGGGCACGCGCAGAGCGUGCCCAUCUGUGGCAGGCUCUUCAGCUCCCCUUCCUGCUUCUGGAAACCUCUGCCUCUGCUGCCGCCCUGGCCCUGCCUACCUGCGCAUGCACCGUCCCCAGGGCUGACCCAGUGUGGCUGCAUUCACUGGGAGGGGGCUGCCCUCACCGGGCCUCUCCCACCCUGCUGCCUGUUCCUGCAGCUCCUUCCUGCAAAGCCAGAGGGGACUUUCUGCUGCAAGGGAGGAACACAAGUAUUAUGGACACACUUGACCGUAAAGGCACAGGAGCCUCGGAACAAGGGGGCGCAAUAAAGGGAAUGCCCCAUCCCCCUCCAGAACCAGCCCAAAGAAGCCUGGGGGGUGGGGAGUGGCCCCCAGUCCUCCAUGAGGGGCUGAUGAGGGGUGGGCAGCCUGGGGGAGGCUUUCCUCGCAAGCACAGAGCUCUGAGGCUCAGCCCCCCAGCACAGGCGGUCACACGCCUAGACGGUUCCUGCUCCUUGGCACCUUCCGUGCAGUUCCCAGUGCCCUGGGGUCACGCUGCCCAUCGGACCAUGGCAUGCCCCGUUCAGCUGACCUGCUGAGGACAGGCACUGCCGAGAUUCCUCGGGUCCUCCCCGCCCUCCCUCAUGCUGCCACGAGCUGCUGCUCCGAGGCCUGGCCACGUGCAGACAGGAGGAAGCUGAGCUCGUCAUUGGGCCUCAAGGCUGCCAUGUGUCUCGUAGGGCCUGGUGGGCAGGGGGCAGUCCUGUGCCUUGUGGGCCCUCAGCCUCUGUGGGUGGAGAGGCUGUCAGUGCCGUGGGUGCAUCACACACUUCUAGCAUCCGCUCCACCCUGCAUCCCCCAAAUGCUGCUUGCUGCCUGCCCUACACUCCGAUGCAGGGGUGGGGUGGGGGACGGGGAGGGUCCCGCCGAGCAUAGCUGCAAUGUCACAAAGCCAUGGCAGAGGGUCCUAGCAGUGCCACCCUGCCCCAGCCUGAGGAGGAGGGAGGGGGAGGAACAACCCUGGGCAGACGGGGCCUCAGGGACCUGUGUCCUUUCUCCUCCAGAGCUGCCCAGCCGGGGCUUUCAGGGUGCUGGGGCAGCCCCAGGUCCCCUCUUGACCUCAGCUGGGGCCAGGGGCCCUCAAAAUGAAGGCAGGCCCCAGGCAGGAGCAGCAUCCCCCUCCCUGACAGUGCUGGCUGGAGGGCCGCGCCAUGCUGACUGCCUGAACCUCUGCUGACCUGACGGUGCUGGCGGGAGGGCCGCGCCAUGCUGACUGCCUGCAUCUCUGCUGAGGCUGCCUGCCUGCCGGGCCCAGCUCAGCGCCCUCUCCACUGCAAAUCAGCGGUGAUCAUGUGAUUUCUAUUUCUGCCCCGCAGGGUAAGGGACGAGUCUUCUGGAAGCCUCUGUCAUGGACAUUUGUCCUCGGGCUCAGAGGCCUUACCCUGCCUCACGCCUGCCCCUAAUCACUGCAAUGUCCAGCCCAGUGUUGAACAGAUUGUAGCGUUCUGUCUCAUGAUGAGCAAAUAAAUAGACUUUCACUGGA